GUGCCCAUCUCCUCAUGGAGUUAUUUUUAGGUCUCGUCAGAGCAGGACGGGAGAAAGCAGAGAUUUUCCAUUCUACAAUGGUGCUGGCAGCACUGAAAGUAGGUUAGCAUGAAAAAUUAUCUGCGCUGUCAGUGCGGCUUUUAGAUUCGAGCUAAUUUUUAAUCCCUUCUCUCCCCAACCCCCCCAACCCGCUCCCCGGCCAGAAGAGGUAGCAGCCUCCAGCGUAUUUUAAUAAUGCUUCAAGAAGUGAAGCAAGAAGUAGAACGCGAGGAAGCCACUUAGCGAGGACGCCACGGCUAACGGAAUACUCUGCCUUGCUACUGUGUACAUCACGACGGGACAAGUUUAAAGAAGAAAGCUUGAAGUUGAAGCAGCCUCCGAAUUACAAAUGGGACAGAGUCCAAAUCUUCACUGGUUCCUCACUCGGAACUGUUUUUCUCCCCAAAACGCUAUAAAAAUAUGGUCAACUUCCCAGCGAGUCUAGAAUGGCCCCAGAAAGCCUGCAAACGUAACUGAACUGUAAAUCGGCACGGAAGUCCUACAGGUAGGACACCAUAACGGGGCAAGGGUCCACCGUGGCAUCGUUAUUCUCAAAUACACAUGACGACGGGUCCGUGUGUGGCACGCCAGGUACCACGGAUGAGAUGGACCGACUGACAUCUCCCUCCCGAGUUCUCACCCUUGUCCGGGCCUUGAAGCAAGCAUCAAAACCAGCGGACAAAAAGGCAAGAAACGGGUGGUCACCCUUGCACUGUGAGGCCAGCAUCGCAGACAAGGUGCCAGAAUGCAGAUACGAGACCAUUGUGACUUUUUUUAGUCCGUCCCGAGCCUCUACAGAUGCUUCACAGGUGCCUUGGCAUGGACCCCAUUCACAACGACCAUCCCUGUCUGAUGGUACCCGACGGGUGUGAGCCCGUAAAUGAGCCUGGCUCCGGUUUCCACGAGUCACAGAAGCUUGUGCAACCUCGCUCCAUGCCUCACUCACAAGAGCUUCUCAAUGCUCACACAGGAAUCUACUGCACUCCAUUCUUGACCAGCUUGUGUCCAAACCCCAGCGUGGGGUACACACCAUUAUGUGGCUCUUGGAGGUACAGUGCACCUCGUCCCCCACGUGCAGAGUUACUCAAGAGCACUUCGCUGCUCUCAGUGACCAUUACCAAUCCUGUUACCCUCACAGCAAGAGAGGCAGGAAAGAAAAACCAUCCAUCCCGCCACAUUCCGUGUGAUGGGAGACUGGGGUCCGUGUCAACUAUCACUUUACAUUUCCACUCUCCCAGCAGGACAAGUGGCAAACCGCCCAAGCAGAGGAAAAGAAAGGCCCCCCAGGGGCGCCUGGGUGUCCCAAUCAGUUAAGCGUCCAACUCCUGAUUUCAGCUCAGGUCAUGCUCUCACGGUUUGGGAGUUCGAGCCCCGCGUCGGGCUCUGUGCUGACAGUGGGGAAUCUGCUUGGGACUCUUCUCUCCCCCCCACCCCCGUCCUUCCCCCACUCUCAAAAGAAACAAAUUAACGCUAAAAAAAAAAGAGGAAGGGAAUUCUGAAGUGAGGUCCUAAUGGAGUAGGUAACACCCAACACAAGACUACAUCCACUGAAGUGGGGGGGGGGGGGGAAUGGGGACUGUUUCAUCCAUUACAAAAUAAAGAACAUGUGAAUAAGUGAAUCCAGGGCCAAGGAUUUCAGGUUGUGUAACACUGGGUUUCUGCCUUCCCCAUUAUAAUCACUUCCUGUAACUAGCAAGAGAAAGGUCUUCUGUCCCAAAAUUUAAUGUUCUACAUGAGUCUGCCUGGAGAUUAAGGGAAAAUGGUCUGUCUUACUACAGCAGUGAAAACAAAACACAGUGUGCAUGGGCAGCACAGAUACCUGGUUUUUAACCACCAAGAGCAUCUCCCGUCUUCCUGGCCUGCUGUCACCUGUCCCCGUGCACACUGGCUGCCAAAAAAGUCAAGGCGACCGCGACCGCGUGCUUCUUUCUAACCCCAACUCCUUCCAUCCCCUUCUGCUAUUGCUUAUGCCUAUCCUUCAAAUGUAACUCCCAAAUGAAUCCGUGCAGAAACCAGUGAACUCCCAGUGAGGGCUCAGGGCUGGUGAACUGUACUGUGCCAUGUGGAUUUCCCGGUUUUGAUAUUACACCAAGGUUAUGUAAGAUGCCACCAUUGGAGGAAGCUGGGGGACGGCACACAGAACGCUAUUUCUGCAACUUCUUGUGGGUCUAUAAUUAACCAAAAUAAAUCACUUAAAAUAAAAAAAUUAAAUAAAUUUCUGAAAACCUGA